rnacentral:rRNA from 1 species
GUCCUACGGGACGCAGCAGUGGGGAAUAUUGCACAAUGGGGGAAACCCUGAUGCAGCGACGCCGCGUGAGUGAAGAAGUAUUUCGGUAUGUAAAGCUCUAUCAGCAGGGAAGAAAAUGACGGUACCUGACUAAGAAGCCCCGGCUAACUACGUGCCAGCAGCCGCGGUAAUACGUAGGGGGCAAGCGUUAUCCGGAUUUACUGGGUGCAAAGGGUGCGUAGGCGGCCUGCUAAGUCUGGAGUGAAAGGUACCGGCUCAACCGGUACAGGCUCUGGAAACUGGCGGGCUAGAGAGCAGGAGAGGGG